rnacentral:rRNA from 1 species
CUUGCUUCUCUUGAGAGCGGCGGACGGGUGAGUAAUGCCUAGGAAUCUGCCUGGUAGUGGGGGAUAACGUUCGGAAACGGACGCUAAUACCGCAUACGUCCUACGGGAGAAAGCAGGGGACCUUCGGGCCUUGCGCUAUCAGAUGAGCCUAGGUCGGAUUAGCUAGUUGGUGGGGUAAUGGCUCACCAAGGCGACGAUCCGUAACUGGUCUGAGAGGAUGAUCAGUCACACUGGAACUGAGACACGGUCCAGACUCCUACGGGAGGCAGCAGUGGGGAAUAUUGGACAAUGGGCGAAAGCCUGAUCCAGCCAUGCCGCGUGUGUGAAGAAGGUCUUCGGAUUGUAAAGCACUUUAAGUUGGGAGGAAGGGUUGUAGAUUAAUACUCUGCAAUUUUGACGUUACCGACAGAAUAAGCACCGGCUAACUCUGUGCCAGCAGCCGCGGUAAUACAGAGGGUGCAAGCGUUAAUCGGAAUUACUGGGCGUAAAGCGCGCGUAGGUGGUUUGUUAAGUUGGAUGUGAAAUCCCCGGGCUCAACCUGGGAACUGCAUUCAAAACUGACUGACUAGAGUAUGGUAGAGGGUGGUGGAAUUUCCUGUGUAGCGGUGAAAUGCGUAGAUAUAGGAAGGAACACCAGUGGCGAAGGCGACCACCUGGACUAAUACUGACACUGAGGUGCGAAAGCGUGGGGAGCAAACAGGAUUAGAUACCCUGGUAGUCCACGCCGUAAACGAUGUCAACUAGCCGUUGGAAGCCUUGAGCUUUUAGUGG